rnacentral:rRNA from 1 species
CCUACGGGUGGCAGCAGUGAGGAAUAUUGGUCAAUGGGCGUAAGCCUGAACCAGCCAAGUCGCGUGAGGGAUGAAGGUUCUAUGGAUCGUAAACCUCUUUUAUAAGGGAAUAAAGUGCGGGACGUGUCCCGUUUUGUAUGUACCUUAUGAAUAAGGAUCGGCUAACUCCGUGCCAGCAGCCGCGGUAAUACGGAGGAUCCGAGCGUUAUUCGGAUUUAUUGGGUUUAAAGGGUGAGUAGGCGGCCUUUUAAGUCAGCGGUGAAAGUCUGUGGCUUAACCAUAGAAUUGCCGUUGAAACUGGGAGGCUUGAGUAUGGUUGGGGCAGGUGGAAUUCGGGGUGUAGGGGUAAAAUGCGUAGAUAUCACGCGGAACACUCAUUGCGAAGGCAACCUGCCAAGCCAUGACUGACGCUGAUGCGCGAAAGCGUGGGGAUCAAACAGGAUUAGAUACCCGAGUAGUC